rnacentral:rRNA from 1 species
CCUACGGGUGGCAGCAGUGAGGAAUCUUGGUCAAUGGGCGAGAGCCUGAACCAGCCAAGCCGCGUGAAGGAUGAAGGAUCUCUGGUCUGUAAACUUCUUUUAUAUGGGAAUAAAGUGAGGAACGUGUUCCUUUUUGUAUGUACCAUAUUAAUUAGCAUCGGCUAACUCCGCGCCAGCAGCCGCGGUAAUACGGAGGAUGCGAGCGUUAUCCGGAUUUAUUGGGUGUAAAGGGUGCGUAGGUGGUUAAUUAAGUCAGCGGUGAAAGUUUGUGGCUCAACCAUAAAAUUGCCGUUGAAGCUGGUUGACUUGAGUAUAUUUGAGGUGAGCGGAAUGCGAGGUGUAGCGGUGGAAUGCAUAGAUAUCACGCAGAACUCCGAUUGCGAAGGCAGCUUACUAAUCUAUAACUGACACUGAAGCACGAAAGCAUGGGGAUCAAACAGGAUUAGAUACCCGGGUAGUC